UUGAUAAUCACUUUUGUUUGUCAUAUAUAUUGUUAAACUUUUACUUCUUAUCUUCAGAACCUUUCAAGAAUUGAUCAGUUCAACAUUUUAGAUCGCUUUUGUGAAGGUGAUUCACAUCUAUAGAGGAGAUCAUUGGCUCAGGAGUUGAAGAAAUCUUCUAGUUCUCAUCUCAGAGUUCCCGAAUUAAGCUGCCGAAUUUAUAUUUUUUACCUCACCACUAAAUGGGCUAAUGACGAGUGUGUUCGCAAGGCACUGCAUAUUCGCGAGGGAACCAUAGGGAAAUGGGAACGUUGUUACAAGACUGAUUUUGAGUUUCAGAUCUCUGAUAGCGUUGAGUUUCAUGCAAAUCUAAGCAAAAAAGGACAGCUCACGCCAAUAGAUAUUUCCUCCGAGAUUUAAGGUUCAAAUUCAAAUCAAGUCCCUCGAUAAUUUUUUUUGAGGUAUCGGUCCCUCAAUUUCGACAUAGCUAAUUUCAUGACAUGGCAUCUCACCAAC